rnacentral:rRNA from 1 species
CGUUGAGCUAACCCGUACUAAUUGCCCGUGAGACUUAACCAUACAACACCCAAGGUGUUUGGGACGUUACGCACAAGCGAGCGACUUUACCGAAUAAGUAGCCUGAUGUUCACAUCAGGUGAGAUAGUGAAUUCAACAGAGUGGCUUUUACUUAAAAAAGCAGUCAGUUUUUACAUGUUGUGACAGUUUAUGUCUGGCGGCCAUAGCGGUGUGGCACCACCUGAAUCCAUUCCGAACUCAGAAGUGAAACACACCAGCGCCGAUGGUAGUGUGGGGUCUCCCCAUGCGAGAGUAGGUCACCGCCAGAC